CCCUGAUUCCGUGUUGUGGCCAACCGGCAAGGUGCACAGAAGGCCAAAGCCUUCUACUUCAGUGCAGACCCCUCAGAUCCACAAAAGGCCUCCAAUCAUUGUGAGCUAUGGGCAGGACCAAACAUCUGGGGAUGGAUGGAGCGUCAAUCCAGAGCCUCUCAGCCAGUCUGGAAGGGUGACUCGGCUGAUAGAGAGAAAAAAU